UCAAGUUCGUCAAAGUCAAUACUUCUUAACUGUUAAUGAUACCAUGUACAUUAAUCCUGUUUAGCCUUCAUCCUACCAAGUACAAAUACAGUGUUCCAAUGAUUUUUGUUAUCAACUCGCCAUAUUUCGACUUCAUAAUCGCAUCACACUAUACAUUAGGCCGAUACAUUGCCUUCCAUAGUCUGUUACAGUAUAUCAAACACAUUGUAAAAAAAAAAUAUCGGAUACGACGAAAUCGAAAACAUCGCUCUACUCAAAUUAGAAAAAGAUCAGUAGCGUGUCCAGGUGUCUUGAUGUGGGGAAGCUGAUGGGGGCGCAAAGGUGAAGUUUUGAGCUGAUCAGUUGAGUGGGAGUAAACUGGCAAAACAAGGUGACUUUAGGUGCUUUUUUUACACCUUGAUCGUGAUCUUUAAGAGGCGCCUGAGGCGCCUCUCGCGCACACCCAUAGAUACACCACUGUUGCAGAUACCUCUUCUUUAAGGUUCGGCUGUCGUAUUUGGCGAAACGAUAGACAUUUGUUCACAACAUCAAACGUGUCAAGGUAGAUGUGGAAACCCACCGACUAAUGGAUCUGUGUGCAACUGUGAUUCACAUUGCCAACUUUAUGGUGACUGUUGUUAUGACUACUGGACAAAUUGCGCAGUUAAAAACACUCUAAGUCCCUCUCAAUCGUUCUGGGAUCGUACAGUGUGUAGAGACUCCUAUCGAUUUUACCUGAUCUCUAAAUGCAGUCCAAAUACCAUUGAUUAUGUCAAUUGGUCAAAAUGUGAGAAACCAAAUCCAGACGAUCUCCUUCAGAAAAUCCCAGUCAGUGAUUCAUUUAAUUGCUGCGAAGCAGCCAAUUCAUAUUCUUGACAGCAAUUUGACCUCUGAAAGAUAAGAUUUUCUUUAUUGUCACGUUUACAAUGAAGUAUACAUGAAAUUUUUCCUGUUGACACUUGAAAUCUUAACUACUAGAUAAAAACAUACAUAAGGCGAAAUAAAAAAAUAAGUUACGUUAUCACAAAACCAUUUUACAUAUAUACAGGUCGUUCAAGCAAAUAAAUAUGGAUUAUCUUUUUUGAGUUAUGUAA